UAGGGAAUUUUCCACAAUGGACGAAAGUCUGAUGGAGCAACGCCGCGUGCAGGAUGAAGGCCCUUGGGUCGUAAACUGCUUUUAUGUGCGAAGAAUUUGACGGUAACACAUGAAUAAGGAUCGGCUAACUCCGUGCCAGCAGCCGCGGUCAUACGGGGGAUCCAAGCGUUAUCCGGAAUUACUGGGCGUAAAGAGUUGCGUAGGUGGCAUAGUAAGUCAGUAGUGAAAUUGUGUGGCUCAACCAUACACCCAUUACCGAAACUGCUAAGCUUGAGAGCGAGAGAGGUUACUAGAAUUCCUAGUGUAGGAGUGAAAUCCGUAGAUAUUAGGAGGAAUACCGAUGGCGUAGGCAGGUAACUGGCUCGUUUCUGACACUAAGGCACGAAAGCGUGGGGAGCAAACGGGAUUAGAUACCCCCGUAGUCC
rnacentral:rRNA from 1 species